AGCGGGGUAGAGGAAUUGGUCAACUCAUCAGGCUCAUGACCUGAAGACUGCAGGUUCGAAUCCUGUCCCCACCU
rnacentral:tRNA from 2 species